GCUUUCGUGGUGUAAUGGUCAGCACACUAGGCGCGUAUUCAAGAGGUCCCGGGUUCGAGCCCCGGCCAGGGCA
rnacentral:tRNA from 1 species